rnacentral:rRNA from 1 species
UACGAAGGGGGCGAGCGUUGUUCGGAAUUAUUGGGCGUAAAGGGCGCGUAGGCGGUGCGGUAAGUCUGUAGUGAAAUCUCUGGGCUCAACUCAGAGUCUGCUGCAGAAACUGCCGUGCUUGAGUGUGGGAGAGGUGAGUGGAAUUCCCGGUGUAGUGGUGAAAUGCGUAGAUAUCGGGAGGAACACCAGUGGCGAAGGCGACUACCUGGCCUGUUCUUGACGCUGAGGCGCGAAAGCUAGGGGAGCAAACGGG